rnacentral:rRNA from 1 species
GAGUUUGAUCAUGGCUCAGGAUGAAUGCUAGCGGCAGGCUUAACACAUGCAAGUCGAGGGGUAUAACAUUUCGGUGUUAGAGACCGGCGCACGGGUGCGUAACGCGUAUGCAAUCUGCCUUUCACAGAGGGAUAGCCCAGAGAAAUUUGGAUUAAUACCUCAUAGUAUUACGAUAAGGCAUCUUAUUAUAAUUAAAGCCACAGCGGUGAAAGAUGAGCAUGCGUCCCAUUAGUUAGUUGGUAAGGUAACGGCUUACCAAGACUUCGAUGGGUAGGGGCCCUGAGAGGGAGAUCCCCCACACUGGUACUGAGACACGGACCAGACUCCUACGGGAGGCAGCAGUGAGGAAUAUUGGUCAAUGGGCGCAAGCCUGAACCAGCCAUGCCGCGUGCAGGAUGACGGUCCUAUGGAUUGUAAACUGCUUUUGUACGAGAAGAAACACCCCUACGUGUAGGGACUUGACGGUAUCGUAAGAAUAAGGAUCGGCUAACUCCGUGCCAGCCGCCGCA